rnacentral:rRNA from 1 species
AUUGAACGCUGGCGGCAUGCUUUACACAUGCAAGUCGAACGGUAACAGGCCGCAAGGUGCUGACGAUUGGCGAACGGGUGAGUAAUGCAUCGGAACGUGCCCAGUCGUGGGGGAUAACUACUCGAAAGGGUAGCUAAUACCGCAUACGAUCUAUGGAUGAACGCGGGGGACCGUAAUGCCUCGCGUGAUUGGAUCGGCCGAUGUCAGAUGAGGUAGUUGGUGGGGUAAAGGCACACCAAGACAACGAUCUGUAGCUGGUCUGAGAGGACGACCAGCCACACUGGGGCUGAGACACGGCCCAGACUCCUACGGGAGGCAGCAGUGGGGAAUUUUGGACAAUGGGCGCAAGCCUGAUCCAGCAAUGCCGCGUGCAGGAAGAAGGCCUUCGGGUUGUAAACUGCUUUUGUACGGAACGAAACGGCUCUGGUUAAUACCCGGGGCUAAUGACGGUACCGUAAGAAUAAGCACCGGCUAACUACGUG